rnacentral:rRNA from 1 species
AGAGAGAGACAUGCGCGCAUAUCAAUAAGCGGAGGAAAAGAAACUAACUAGGAUUCCCUCAGUAACGGCGAGUGAAGCGGGAAGAGCUCAAAUUUGAAAUCUUCAAGGUUCUACCUUGACGAAUUGUAGUUUAAAGAAGUGUUUUCUGUUGGAGUUUUGGUAAAAGUUCUUUGGAAUAGGACAUCAUAGAGGGUGAGAAUCCCGUAUUUGACCAUUAUUUCCAGCUUUGCGAUACACUUUCAAAGAGUCGGAUUGUUUGGGAAUGCAGUCCAAAAUGGGUGGUAAAUUUCAUCUAAAGCUAAAUAUUGGCGAGAGACCGAUAGCGAACAAGUACCGUGAGGGAAAGAUGAAAAGAACUUUGAAAAGAGAGUUAAACAGUACGUGAAAUUGUCAAAAGGGAAGCGUUUGACACCAGUGUUGUUUUUCUGAAAAUCAAUUAAAGAACUGUUUAUGCUAAGUUGUUUAGACUUUAUCAGCUAACUGUUUAGUUUUGAGCUUUUCUUUAAUGCACUUUUCAGUUAACAAGUCGACAUCAAUUUCUUUUGUUGUAAAAGGGUCAUUGGAAGGUGGCUUUCUUUUCGGAGAAAGUGUUUAUAGCCUUUGGCCUCUGCAAUCGGAGAGAUUGAGGUCUGCAGCGUAGAUCCUUCGGGGUUAGAUACAUUUGUGCUAAGUUAUAGCCUUUCAUAGACAACUUGUUGACUAUGAUCAGUCAUGUAGCUUACUCGCUUAUGCUAUUUUACCUACGCUUAGGAUGUUGAUGUGAUACUGCGAGC